rnacentral:lncRNA from 1 species
GGCUCCAGUGCCCAGCUGAUGGCCUCUUUUCUGCCUUCAGGAUUCUUCCUCCAACCUCUCGCCUCUCCAGGAGAGAGAGGCGUGAGUUCACUUUGGGGUGGAGUAUCUCACCUCAAGCCAGAAACUGACAGCCCAGGUCUAAAGGCACCGGAAGUCAUGUGGACCCAGAAAUCAAUUUAAGGGCCUGCACUUCUUCUGGAGAGGCCCCUCCAGGUGCAAUUGUACAGUUUUGUCUUUUUGCUGUGGCACAAGCCCAAAGCUCUUUCUAGGGACACCAGCUUGUGUGCUGCUCAAGGGGACUCCUGCCCAGGGGCCAUCCCAGCCCCUAUCUCUCAAGACAUCCCUCCCCUUUGCUGAAACUGGCAGUGUGGGGGACAGGUCCCUCUAGCCCCCGUGCCUUCUCCAUGCCUGGCCCCCGUCCUGACAGAUGCCCCUGGUAACAACACCAGCAGCCGGAGCCUCCUGACCUGGGCUGGCCCAGCAGGUGCAGGCUCCUGCAGCUGCUGCCCCUCCACAUUCCUCCCCGACCUGACCUCUGGUCUGGCCCAGACAGCAGCUCCCCAGCCAGCCCUGGCUGCACAAGCAGAGACAGGGAGAGGUUCUGCUGGGCUCUGCCUGUCCUCGGCUGACAGGUACCUAGGUGCGGUGUCAGGAGGGGCCAAGCCCAGCAUGUUGACAAGCCCAGCGGCUCCUGCUCUGGAUCCUUUUGCAGCCAAGACUCUCUUCCGAGGCCAGCCACAGACACAGUGCAGGGAGGGCACUAAUUAAGCUGUAGGUCCUCCCAGAGCCCCAGCUCAUGUGUAAUCAUGCUCUCUGGACUCAGAGCUGUCUUGGGUGCUCUGGGAGAGCUGGGAGGGAAAAGGGGAGCUGCUGAUUGAGAAGCUGAUGGGGGCUUUUAGAAUGGAUUUCCGUGAAACUGACAUUUACACCAUUCUUGCAAGAUCUAGCUCCCAGAAGAGAACCACAAGCCAUGCCUGGUUCUGCAACAUGAUCCCAGAAGCUCCAAUCGGCUGGCCCCAGGGGGACUGACUUGUUCUCUCUAGGUCCAGGGCCCCCUGCCUGGUGUGAUUUGGAAAGGUCCCUUCCUCUGGCCUGCAGAACUGCCUCUGCUGCGAAGCUCACCCACCUAAAGUCAAGGAGAGCUUCGGUGUUCUCUCUGCUUUGGCAUUGAAUUCCGAGCCCUGGGCUUCACUGUGGGAGACCUCAGUGGGAAGGACCAUGUUCCAAGAUCUAAGUUGGGGCCAAAUCUUUUUGUCCCCAACUUGUGUUUUAUAAAUCGACGAAUUAAAACAUGACCUUAUUUUGAUACCUAGUUUUUUCCAAAGAGGGCCAGAAAGCAUCAGUGGCUCAGGAAGUCACAUGGGCAGAUGUGGCACAGUGAGUCCUGCGUCCAAGUCCUCAGGUCUCAAACACAGCAAUUGCUGACGUUUUUUGAAUUGUAGAGUAGAAGAAGAAGAAAGUGGGAAAGCUGGGGACCUGCCCAGCACCAUCCCACAGCAGCUGGGGCUGGGACACAUUGCCGUGCAGAAAGGGACGGAGCUUGAACCCGGCUCCCAUUGCCACCUUGGACACGUGUUGAUUUGUGGACUGUUGGGAAAAGGCAGGUUGGGCAUCAAUGCUCCGGGAGCACGUUCCAAGUAGAAACCCUCAAGCUGAUGAGCUCACAGCUGAGGAGCCCACCGCUGCAUGGGCCCUGCUGACACCUGACGAGUCUGGGCCAGAGCUCAGUCUCUCCCAGAAGCCCCACUCCUGCUCCCCGUUGCCCUGACUUUGAGGAAACCCAGAUAAUGUGAGGCUCAACCCAGUUAGGCGGGGGCUAUUUCUUUUAAAAACAGAGGAGGCAGACAAAUUCCUGCCUGAAUCUGUUAGCCUGGUCCCUGUGGCCAAGCCCCAGGAAUUCCGUCCUGGCUAGAAACCCUCAGGCCUCAGCACUUUUCUGAGCACGGGGAAUUUGGGCCAGAGACUCCACCUCGGAUUCCCGUUCCCAGAAUGUCAGCAAGACGUGUCACAGGGAGCUGGCCCUCCAAGGCCUUCCAGAUCUGUGGGAGGAGGCUAGGGGAUCUUGGUCUCUAUAUUUAUGAUAAAUUGUGAAAUAUAAGCAACUAUUGUUUGUUAGAUUUUAAAUAGAAAUUCAAGAGUUAAGGAACUUACCCAGUGCCUGGUAGAGACUAAGUAACCCUAAAUUCUUGUUAUAAGAACAAUACUUUUCUAGUAAAGGUAGCUCUGUCAUUGUGAACACAUUUAGAAAGCACCCCCCCAAAAAAAACACAAAGAGCAAAACUAAAUUUAUCUGUCAUUUUAAUUCUUAGACAUGGUAACUUAUUGAUGUAUAAUCCUUCCAGAUUUUUUGUACCCAUAAACAAAGUAUAUUUAGAUCAUAAGCUGAGUUUGUCUGUAGCAUAACUCAUAAAUGAAAUAUAUUUAUUCAUAAAAAUAGAACUGUGUGGGUAUCAUUUGUAGAGUUGGCCCUCGGUACCCACUGAGGAUUGGAUCUAGGACCUCCCACAGACACCAAAAUCCAAGAAUGCUUAAGUCCCUAUAUAAAACAGCGUAGCAUUUGUAUAUAACCUGUUCAUAUCCUCCUCUAUACUACAAAUUAUCUUUAGGAUACUUAUAAAAAUGAAUGCAAUAUAAAUGCUGGGUAAAUCAUUGUUACAUAAUGUAUUGUUCAGGAAAUGAUGACAAGAAAUUGAAAUCUGUGUGUAGCCAAUACCUAGGCAAUUUUUUUUUUCAAAUAUUUUUGAAUUGCAG